GACGAACGCUGGCGGCGUGCUUAACACAUGCAAGUCGAGCGGUAAGGCCCUUUCGGGGGUACGACGAGCGGCGAAUGGGUGAGUAACACGUGGGUGACCUGCCCUCCAGCUCUGGGAGUGAGCCUGGGAAACCGGGUCUAAUACUGGAUAUGACUCCAUGACGCAUGUUGUGGGGUGGAAAGCCUUGUGCAGCUGAGGAUGGGCCCGCGG
rnacentral:rRNA from 1 species